rnacentral:rRNA from 1 species
GGGUGCAACCGAAUGACUGUUUAGCAAAAACAUAGUAGACAGGUUUAAGAUUUUUAAUAGUUGUGAAUGAUGUUUGACCAGUGCUUGUGGAAACAAGUAAACGUUGGCUGUAACUAUAACCGUCCGAAGGUAGCAAAGUUCCUUGUCACCUAAGUAGUGACCCGCAUGAAAGAUUUAACGGUUUGGUUUGUGUCCUGUGGGUAUGUUAUGGUGAAACACUAUACUACGUGAAGAUACGUGUAAUAUUAGGAUGGGACAAAAAGACCCUGAGAAGCUUUAUUGGGAGAGAGAACCAGAGGUGUUGAUAGCGGGGAUAUAUACUAGUGUAAGUGGGUAUAUUUUUCAGCAUCACCGCAUUGCCAAGCAUGCAAAACCCUGCCUUCGGAGCGGGUGCUUUCUUUUAGAGGAGCAACAAUCAUCUUUAGCAUCACCAUUGGAUAUGUAGGCAAGCAUUCGGUGUGGGGCUAUUUUAUUGGGGCUAUGCCUUUAUGUAAGUCAAUAAUAGGGUGCCAAGAGAACAUACUGGAAGAGAGCAGUGUUUUUAGCAAGGGCAUAUCAUGGGACAUUUGAAUGUGGGGGUAUAGUAGUGAAGGUUGUAGUCAGCAUUAGUGAACUUAAGUGUAACGUAUCAGAUAACAGCUACUCCUUGGAUAACAGGCUUAUAUAGGCUGACAGAUCGCAUGGAGGCAUAUCAUUGGCACCUCGAUGUCGGCUUGUCUCUUCUAGUAUAUUGAUUAGUAUAACUAGUGUGGUUGCUCAUCACAUAGUCAGGCAAGUGAGCUGGGUUCAGAACGAUGUAAAUCAGUUUGGUCUAUAUCUUUAUUGGUGUUGCGAGAAAGUAUAGUAUAGCAGUACGCAAGGAC